rnacentral:rRNA from 1 species
GGUUGAUCCUGCCAGUAGUCAUAUGCUUGUCUCAAAGAUUAAGCCAUGCAUGUCUCAGUACAAGCCAAAUUAAGGUGAAACCGCGAAAGGCUCAUUAAAUCAGUUAUGGUUCCUUAGAUCGUACCCACAAUUACUUGGAUAACUGUGGUAAUUCUAGAGCUAAUACAUGCAAACAGAGCUCCGACCGGAGACGGAAGGAGUGCUUUUAUUAGAUCAAAACCAAUCGGUGGCGAGUUCGCUCGUCAUCGUACAACUUGGUGACUCUGAAUAACUUUACGCUGAUCGCACGGUCGUUGCACCGGCGACGCAUCUUUCAAAUGUCUGCCUUAUCAACUGUCGAUGGUAGGUUCUGCGCCUACCAUGGUUGUAACGGGUAACGGGGAAUCAGGGUUCGAUUCCGGAGAGGGAGCCUGAGAAACGGCUACCACAUCCAAGGAAGGCAGCAGGCGCGCAAAUUACCCACUCCCGGCACGGGGAGGUAGUGACGAAAAAUAACGAUACGGGACUCAUCCGAGGCCCCGUAAUCGGAAUGAGUACACUCUAAACCCUUUAACGAGGAUCAAUUGGAGGGCAAGUCUGGUGCCAGCAGCCGCGGUAAUCCCAGCUCCAAUAGCGUAUAUUAAAG